GGCCGACUAGCUCAGUUGGUUAGAGCGUCGUGCUAAUAUUUAAGGAUGUUAACGCGAAGGUCUUGGGUUCGAUCCCCACGUUGGCCA